CGGACCGGCGCACGGGUGAGUAACGCGUAUGCAACUUACCUAUCAGAGGGGAUAACCCGGCGAAAGUCGGACUAAUACCGCAUAAAGCAGGGAUCCCGCAUGGGAAUAUUUGCUAAAGAUUCAUCGCUGAUAGAUAGGCAUGCGUUCCAUUAGGCAGUUGGCGGGGUAACGGCCCACCAAACCGACGAUGGAUAGGGGUUCUGAGAGGAAGGUCCCCCACAUUGGUACUGAGACACGGACCAA
rnacentral:rRNA from 1 species